UUGUGACUUAUUGGAGGUAAUUACAAAUGAGCUUAGUUUUAGAAGCAUGGAGCAUUUAAUUGUGGUUCAUACCUAAUCUGUUGUGUUUAACUUUAUCGGAUGGAGGUUGACAGUUCGAAUGAUGGGAGUUUAUCUGAUCUAUUCGGUUCUGGACAGCCCUGAUGAGCAUGUAUACCCAACUUCAUCAUCUGAAGCCGAGAGCAUUUCUUUUAUCAUGCCUCCUUACAAAAAAGGAAGAAGAUCAAGCUGUAUUAACAAAAUUUGGUAUGUGCUGGUCCAUCUACACCCCAUGAAAACAGCUUGGAUGGAAUUGAAUGGCUUGAACAACUCGAUGAACCAGCAGAUGAACUACCAAAUAAAAUACUAGAUGAUCAACUGUGACGGCCCAUUAGGAAAGCCCCUAACCAAUUGAUACUGCGAGGUCAAUAUUAUUAUUGUCCAGUGAAGUACAACAGUAUUAAUAUUGUGUAAAAUGUUGUAGAAAACAUACCAAAGAAGAAUGUUCUAAAGAGGAUCAGAAAUCCACAGUAGGAGCCCUGAUAUGUGGAGACCACAUUCCUCCUGCGCUCCACUCGUUAUCUCCACAAACAAUUAAAUAUUGAGGACCAGGCAGACAUGUGCGGACAUCUCAGAUAUGGAGAAAUGCUGAUGGAACUGGAGGCUCUUUACUGAUGACACGUGAACGAUCUGCUAAGCUAGUAGAAUUUUGUAUCAAAUAUGUUUUACGAAACCUAUAAUCAUUUCUGUAAUACAUACUCACAUAAUAUAACAAAUAGUAUUAAAUUUGUCUAAGAAAUUUACAAUGUUUACAUUUGGAUUAUUUUGCUCUCUAAAACAAAUGUCCUAAACAAAUGUGUAUACUUAUAAUGUGUUUUGUUAAUGCGUUUACAAUUUAAGAAAGUAACUAGAGCAUGGUGCCAGUUGCUAAAAAUUUAUUUUAGACACAUUUAAAAUCUCAUCCGGUGAAUAAAUGACAUAUCUAGAACCCCGUUAUAAAAUAUGGUUUUAAAAUUAUGUUUAGGGUAUAAAAAUAUCUAUGUAUAAUAAAAAUUUUACACAUGAAAUUUUGUCUAAAUAUUGUACUUUAGUUACAAACAAAAUGCUUUAAUUUUGAAAUAAAUCUCUUUAAGAAAUAGUUUCUUUUUCAUGUUCCAUAGAGUUUACAAUGUUAUUGUAAAAUUAAAAACACAAGAAAUACCAAUGUAGUAUUUCUUUCACUGUUUUUCUCUUCUGUAACAUUGUUGUAGUAGAAU